ACAAACCAUUUUUUAGAACAAUACACCUCUGAAUAUUAUUUCUGUUUCAUAAGAGCACAAAGUGUGUGGACCUACGGGAGCUGUGACCUCAACGCCAUCGGAAUUUCUAUUUUAGAAAUGUGCUUUGCAUGUUAAAAUUCACAAGUUGGGAAACUAUGGUAUGAGCGAAUCUGAUUUCCCACAGUGAGAGGCAUAAAGGAAUAGGCAGGACUCAAUUUGGGGUGGGAGGAGAUGAAUAAGGGAGAAUAGGACAGUUAGGGUCUGAAUCUUU